UACGAAGGGUGCAAGCGUUACUCGGAAUUACUGGGCGUAAAGCGUGCGUAGGUGGUUCGUUAAGUCUGAUGUGAAAGCCCUGGGCUCAACCUGGGAAUGGCAUUGGAUACUGGCGACCUAGAGUGCGGUAGAGGGUGGCGGAAUUCCCGGUGUAGCAGUGAAAUGCGUAGAUAUCGGGAGGAACAUCCGUGGCGAAGGCGGCCACCUGGACCAGCACUGACACUGAGGCACGAAAGCG
rnacentral:rRNA from 1 species